rnacentral:rRNA from 1 species
CAAUAGCGUAUAUUAAAGUUGUUGCGGUUAAAAAGCUCGUAGUUGGAUUUCUGUUGAGAGUCGGCGGUCCUAACUAUGUUAGUGUAUCUGUUUGAGUCUCGGCAUCCUCUGGGGUGACGUCGCUGCGCUUGAUUGCGUGGCGCGGAAUUCCAGACUUUUACUUUGAGGAAAUUAGAGUGUUCACGGCAGGCAAUCGCCUUGAAUACAUUAGCAUGGAAUAAUAAUAUAGGACCUUGGUUCUAUUUUGUUGGUUUCUAGAACGAAGGUAAUGAUUAAUAGGGAUAAUUGGGGGCGAUUCGUAUUAACAUGUCAGAGGUGGAAUUCUUGGAUUAUGUUACGACGAACUACUGCGAAAGCAUUUGCCAAGGAUGUUUUCAUUGAUCAAGAACGAAAGUAAGGGGAUCGAAGACGAUCAGAU